GAUGAACGCUGGCGGCGUGCCUAAUACAUGCAAGUCGAGCGAACGGACGAGAAGCUUGCUUCUCUGAUGUUAGCGGCGGACGGGUGAGUAACACGUGGAUAACCUACCUAUAAGACUGGGAUAACUUCGGGAAACCGGAGCUAAUACCGGAUAAUAUUUUGAACCGCAUGGUUCAAAAGUGAAAGACGGUCUUGCUGUCACUUAUAGAUGGAUCCGCGCUGCAUUAGCUAGUUGGUAAGGUAACGGCUUACCAAGGCAACGAUGCAUAGCCGACCUGAGAGGGUGAUCGGCCACACUGGAACUGGGACACGGUCCAGACUCCUACGGGAGGCAGCAGUAGGGAAUCUUCCGCAAUGGGCGAAAGCCUGACGGAGCAACGCCGCGUGAGUGAUGAAGGUCUUCGGAUCGUAAAACUCUGUUAUUAGGGAAGAACAGAUGUGUAAGUAACUGUGCACAUCUUGACGGUACCUAAUCAGAAAGCCACGGCUAACUACGUG
rnacentral:rRNA from 1 species